rnacentral:lncRNA from 1 species
AUGCAUGCGACAGGCGUGGACAGUAAUGCCUGUGUGAUUGGGCCGCGCCGGGUGAUGAUUUUAAUAAACACACGCACGCCGAGGGGGCCACAGGUCAACGGUGUUUGGAUUCAUCAGCCUCACAGGCUGCCAGAAAAUGAAGUUAAAGGUAAGAAACUCUGCAAUUUUACAAUUAUAUUGUCAAGUUUCCACCUUUUAUCUCCUUUUCAAGCUCCACCGGGUCCUUAUACCUGCGUUUCCCUCUGUAGUAUUGGUCUCUGCACACACACAGCUUACAGUGUGUACACACCAACACUCCCACCAACAGUCACCGCAAGAGUUAAUAUGUCUAUUGUUUGGCCAGCACGUCAAGCACUUAUCCCUGAGUGUUUGCAGGCUGCUGCAGGGAAAGAAUUAAAGUUUAUAGAGACAUGCAGAGAAUGA